rnacentral:rRNA from 1 species
GACGAACGCUGGCGGCGUGCUUAACACAUGCAAGUCGAACGGAAAGGCCCUGCUUUUGUGGGGUGCUCGAGUGGCGAACGGGUGAGUAACACGUGAGUAACCUGCCCUUGACUUUGGGAUAACUUCAGGAAACUGGGGCUAAUACCGGAUAGGAGCUCCUGCUGCAUGGUGGGGGUUGGAAAGUUUCGGCGGUUGGAGAUGGACUCGCGGCUUAUCAGCUUGUUGGUGGGGUAGUGGCUUACCAAGGCUUUGACGGGUAGCCGGCCUGAGAGGGUGACCGGCCAUAUUGGGACUGAGAUACGGCCCAGACUCCUACGGGAGGCAGCAGUGGGGAAUAUUGCACAAUGGGCGGAAGCCUGAUGCAGCAACGCCGCGUGCGGGAUGACGGCCUUCGGGUUGUAAACCGCUUUCGCCUGUGACGAAGCGUGAGUGACGGUAAUGGGUAAAGAAGCACCGGCUAACUACGUG